rnacentral:rRNA from 1 species
GAUGAACGCUGGCGGCGUGCCUAAUACAUGCAAGUCGAGCGAACAGAUGAGGAGCUUGCUCCUCUGACGUUAGCGGCGGACGGGUGAGUAACACGUGGAUAACCUACCUAUAAGACUGGGAUAACUUCGGGAAACCGGAGCUAAUACCGGAUAAUAUAUUGAACCGCAUGGUUCAAUAGUGAAAGACGGUUUUGCUGUCACUUAUAGAUGGAUCCGCGCCGCAUUAGCUAGUUGGUAAGGCAACGGCUUACCAAGGCAACGAUGCGUAGCCGACCUGAGAGGGUGAUCGGCCACACUGGAACUGAGACACGGUCCAGACUCCUACGGGAGGCAGCAGUAGGGAAUCUUCCGCAAUGGGCGAAAGCUUGACGGAGCAACGCCGCGUGAGUGAUGAAGGUCUUCGGAUCGUAAAACUCUGUUAUUAGGGAAGAACAAAUGUGUAAGUAACUAUGCACGUCUUGACGGUACCUAAUCAGAAAGCCACGGCUAACUACGUG